rnacentral:lncRNA from 1 species
UCGUUUUGACUUGUUGAUGAAGUAGAAUCAAACCUACUAGUAUUUACUUUAUAACCAUUUCUAUAUUGUACUUGACUGCAAUCACCACUUGGACUAAGAAUCACCAUUCUUAACUUCAUGUUAAGCAACUUGAUCAAUUGAUAAGAUGGAAAAUUCUGCACAAUUUUGCUUUAAAUUCUUCAGAGGCUUGAAGAAAAUUUGACUUUAGAAUUUAUGAAUGAAGCAUCAUCUCCAUCCAUUCUUUGAAGAUGGCCGCUACUCAAUUUUGUUAAACUAGAGCACUAGAGAAAUUAU